AUUGAACGCUGGCGGCAGGCCUAAAACAUGCAAGUCGAACGAGUGGCGGACGGGUGAGUAAUGUCUGGGAAACUGCCCGAUGGAGGGGGAUAACUACUGGAAACGUUAGCUAAUAACGCAUACCCUCGGAUUUGACCAGAGGGGAUUAGCUAGUAGGUGGGGUAAAGGCUAACCUAGGCGCAGAUCCCUAGCUGGUCUGAGAGGAGGACCAGCCACACUGGAACUGAGACACGGUCCAGACUCCUACGGGAGGCAGCAGUGGGGAAUAUUGCACAAGUGGCGCAAGCCUGAUGCAGCCAUGCCGCGGUUAUGAAGAAGGCCGUCGGGUUGUAAAGUACUUUCAGCGGGGAGGCGUUACCCGCAGAAGAAGCACCGGCUAACUCCGUGCCAGCAGCCGCGGUAAUAC
rnacentral:rRNA from 1 species